AUAGAAGGAAUGGAUUCUGCUCUCCUGUCUUUAAAUAGGGAUGGAUGAUUCUUCACUUGAAGAUUUGAGGACGUCAAAGGUGAUAAUAUACAUCAGAAAGUCCACUGGAAUAUUUAUUCAGAAACUUCAAAGUGUUCAUGCCCUUCCCACUCCUAGAUAUGUGUUCCGAAGAAUUAAUCACAGACAAGGGUCUAUUGCAAGAAAGGUCACUGUUGAAUUAUUUACAGUAGGGAGAACUUGGAAAUGGUCUAAAUGUUUCACAAAGAGAGAAUGGCUACAUAAAUUCCGGGGCCUGCUUAUCAGAAAUAUUAUGGUAUUACAAAAUGUUUGCAAAGUCCAGUUAAUAAGAUAGGAAAAAAAAUCGCCUUGUGAAAGCAGUACCUAGAAUAAGGCCUGAGAUAUUGUAGGCACUCUAAAUAUUUGUUCAUUCAAUACAUGGAUAGAAAAAAAUGAUUUGAAAUUCUGCCAGAGAAAUGGAGGUUAACAUUAGAAAAAGCAAACAAAAAAACUGAACAUAAGUAGGGUUAACACUUUUAGAAAGGCAUUUUGCAGAGGGAAAGAAGAUGAAAGCGAUUCUCCCCUCUUCCCCCAAAAAACAACAUAAAAUCUGACCUUGAAUGCAGGCCAAUGGAAAAACUCUCUCCCAGGACAUUUUAGAUAGAAACAGAAUUCAUUUGCAAUGACAGGGGGUGCUUUCCUCUAAGAGGAGAAUUUAUUAACGUAAUAGUUCUUGAGCACUUUUUUGGUGUGUGUGCUAAAAAUUUUGCUGAGAUGUCAGUUUGAGAAACUUUUCAAAUUUAAAACAGUUUUGUUCCUUCACUGCUUUGUUAGGUGAAUAUUUGGAAAUAUUUCUGGCUCAUCAAACAGUCUUAAUUCCAGAGAGACAUCCAGACAGAACAUCUGCCAUAUGACAUCAGACUGAACGCAGCCAAUCGGAUGGGUGAAAGGCAGAAAUUACAGAAAAGUCACGGUCGGGACUCAAGUAUUCUUGCUAGCCCCGGCAACCACAAGUCUGUUUUCGAUGUUUUGGCUGAUGUCAUCGCAGCCGCCUAGAAGAACGGUUCUCUGCAGUGAUGGACGUUCUGUGAUGUCCCUGCGAUUACGGAAGCUGGCAAGGAAGUCUUCUCUCAGCACUGACCACCGGAAGCUACAAAGGAGAUUCAUUUUAAGCUUUCUGGGAAAGGAGCUGCUUGGUGAACCCCAGUUUUUUCUCUUAAUUUACUAUACCAAAGAAGUAUGUCUUCAGCCUACAGCAAGAGAAUGUUCUACAACUUCAAGAGCCUAAAUAAACAAGGCUGGUGUAGAAGAGAGAGAGAGGGUCCUACUUGGUGGGUACUUGACUGGCGAAGCAUCUGUGCCCAAAUGGCAGCUCUCUACAUACCGCAUAGGCUGGCGACUGGACUAUUUUUCAAGUAAUCAGACCUGAUCUGAGGAAGCUUUGCAAGUUCCCACUUUCUGUAUCUUAGGUCAGCAUUCCCCUGCCUGGCCCGUAGGAUUCCUGCCAUUGGAAUGGAAGCAGGAUAUGUUUGUUUUCUGUGGCUGCUGCAACAAAUUACCACAAACUGGAUGGCUUAAAACAGCAGAAGUUAAUUUUCGCACCGUUCUUUGGGCCAGCAGUCUAAAACCAGGGUGUCGGGAGGGUUGGGUUAGAAGUCCCAUCUGAACGACACUGAGUAGGGAGGGUCAGCUGCUGCAAAUAAGAGCAAUACUGCUCCCAGAAGGAGGAGAACAGGUGCAGCUGGGCAGCCUCAAGCAUCAGACCGGGAGAGCAGGGACAAAGGCAGGGAGUUCAGCUUACUCGUGCUGAGUCGUGGCGUGGCUGGUGAGGCACCCAAGUGCUAAUGCCCCAUCUAUUAAAUUUGGCAGCCAGUGCAUCAUUUUUAACCUCAGUGAGAUCACUUUCAGUAGCGCGUGAGGCAGGAGGACUGUUGAAGGCAUUGAAGAAUGAACGGGUACAGAGGACGCCGAGGUGGUGGUGGUCAGAAGCCAAAGAGAAUGAGGGUUUCUGCAGAGGACGGUGUUGCUUGUGCAGCCUUUCAGGGCCCAUGGCAGUGCCCUAAAGCAGUAGUUCUCCAAGGCAGGUCCCCAAACCAGCAGCAGCAGGCACCUGGGCACUUACUGGAAAGCAAAUUUGGGGGACCUACCCGAGACUUAGCUGGAUCAACAAACACAGGAUGGAGCCCUGAAAUCUGUGUUUAACAAGCUCCCCAGGGGAUUUUGAUACAGGCUGAUGUCUGAGAAGCAGGCUCCCGGAGCCUGGGGAAAGAACCUUUGCUAGAGCUGGUUGUGCCAUCUGGCUCGGGGAGGCCUCUGUGCGUUUUGUGAACAUGUCGAGCCCAGCUGGACUUGCUAGAAGCAGAGUCUGGUUUGGGGUGGAGGUGGGGGUGUUGGGCCCAAGGACACGUAUUUCUGUAAAGCAAGCAAAUGAGGCAGGAUCCCUGCUGCUUGAGUAUGAAAUACACCAGUUUUGAUCUUUCAAGCAGAUCUGCAAUUUGACAUUUUUCCACUCUCUGAGCAACACAGUGCCGAAAGGCUCUCUUAAAGGACAAGCCUGGUGUUUGGCUGGAGCUGUCACAGAGCGGCAUUUCUCACAGUAUUUGCAGAGCCCGUGGGAAAUGUUAACCAGAAACUCAGUCUGCUCUUUGACUUCAGUCUUUACGGUUGAAAACCUCUCUAAAAUGGAUCUUUUUGUCACUUGAGAGACUAGGAUAUAUCCAAAGUAGAAAAAUUGUAAAAGAUUUAUUAUCUUUACAAAGCAGAGUGGCUUUGAGAUGAACCCUCUAAUAGAGUCCCUCUUACUCACAUGUGCUCUGAUUUGCUUUGUUGGGAGGAAAAGACUCUGGGAUGGAGGGAGCUCCGCUGGGUGCUGGCACUUGCUGAUGCCCUUCAACCUGCAUGGUCUGUGGCACACUGGGUGUCUGUUGGAUUUCCCUUUAAUGGCUACAAUGCAAGUUUUUUUUUUUUUUUUUUUUUUUUUUUGUCUUUUUGGGGCCACACCCGCGGCAUAUGGAGUUUCCAGACUAGGAGUCGAAUCAGAGCUGUAGCUGCCGGCCUACACCACAGCCAUAGCAAUGUGGGAUCGCUAACCCACUGAGCAGGGUCAGAGAUCGAACCCGCGUCCUCAUGGAUACUAGUCGGGUCGUUAAUCACUAAACCUUGAUGGGAACUCCCUUUUAAUGGCUAUAACGAAAGUCACCUGUCCAGUGGGGCAGAUGGCAGGAAGGAUGGCAUGAUAUAAACUCAGCGAGGAUAGGGCUGGCUAGCUCUUGCUUUUCCCUCUAAAACUUAGAAUUAUAAUAGCACCCAAUAAACAUGCUGAAUGAAUGAAAGAACAUGGUAAUUGUAAUGGAAUUUUGGAUCAUUUUGGAACCUACAGGUAUCAGGACCAUGAUUCUGAGCAUUAAUUUUCACCAUCCGGGUCCAUAAAUACAGCAUGUGUAGGCAGGACUGGCUACAUAAUUUGGGAGAGCAGUUAAAAUUAAAAAUGCAGGACCCCUUGGUCAAAAAUUAAGAACUUUGAGAUGGUGACAGUAGAGCAUUAAACCAAGUGUGGGGUCUUUCUAGGUGUGGGGUCCUGUGUUCCUGCACACAUACCCCGAAAUCAGACCUAUAGGUAGGAGAUAGGAUGAAAUCUUACUAAUCCUGGGAACUUAAACUUUUUGCAGAAAUCCUUGAAAUGACCUUUUAAGAUACUUACCUUCUCCUUUUCUAUGAAAGAGCAGGAUAAUAUCAAAGUGAAGGUGUUGAUGGUGAGGACUGGAGUAUCUCAAUUCUCUUUCACUUUGGAAUGUGUCCGUCUUUGCCAUGUUGCUCUCCGGUGCCUCCCGCUGGAGAGAUCAGAGUGUAUUUCCCAACCGCAUGUAAGCCUCAGCAUCUGACUUUUGGGGCAAUGGGAUGUUAGGGGCCAUGACGUGAGCAGAGACCUUAAAUGCGCUUCUGUAGUUGGGCUUGGCCCCUUGAGCUUCUGUUUUUACCAUGAGAAUAACUGUCCCAGGUAGCUGCUAGUCCAAGGAAAAUGAGAGAAGUGUGCAGUAGACCUGAUCCAAUCUGUAGCCCAAUGCAGAGCUGCCCCCACUGCCCCACAGACCUGUGAGGAAGAAAAGGAAAUGCGUUUGGAGUUCUCGCCUUGGCGCAGUAGGUUACAAAUCCAACCGCAGUGGCUCAGGUCGUGUAGGGGGUACAGGUUUGACCCUGGCCUGGCACAGUGGAUUAAAGGAUCCAGUGUCUCCAUGGCUUUGUCAUGUAGGUCAUAGCUGCAGCUUGGACUAUAUCCCUGCCCUGGGAACCUCUGUAUGCUGCAUAUGUGGCCAUGAAAAAAAUAAAUAAAUGCUUUU
rnacentral:lncRNA from 1 species